GCGUACACGUGGCAAUAUGAAACCGGAAGCGGAAUGUUACGUCGGCUCAGUUUCUUAAAUCUAUACCCCUACACCCAUCAUCAUAAGAGCAUUAAAUGACAAAAUGAUAAAAUUAAAAUAUGAUCAAGAGCCAUUCUUGAAAGAUUCCGAAGACUUUCGAAAAUAACUCAAUAGCCUAAUAGUUGUCCUUUUGAGCCACAGUGUGUGGAGGCUUCUUCGGCAUAUAGCCUCUUCUUUGCUUUGUGCUCUAACUACUACUAUAGAGUAAUCGAUAACUACCGUUAGUGCCAAAGAAUUAAAAUCAUCCCUUAUUCUAAAACUUGGAAGAAAACUGAUAAAUCUAACGCAACUCUAACGCAACCCUGAAAAAAAGCGUGAAAGCAUAGGAAGAGAAACGAGAAUUAAUUCGGACCUUUCAUCUCGACAUGAUUGAAUGAUCAGAGGAUCUUAAAAAUUCACUUACUACUUAAGAAGUUCUGCGAUGGCUCCAAAACACUCGUCCGCGAUUUAGAUUGAAAUUGAAGGUGGAUGAUUCGUAAAUGAUUGAAAAUAAACAAACGCAUCCUGAGGGAUUUUCGAUGUUUACUCGUCAGAGGACAAAGGAGAACUGAUACGCGUGGACCAGGACCAACGGUUUUGUCACUUAAUCCUACACGAAACCGUAUACUAUAUGCUGGACCCCUAUGUUUAGAUGGAUCAUGUCCAACAUAUCCAACUAAUGGAGGUAAUUUAUAAACUGGUCCAG